rnacentral:rRNA from 1 species
GACGAACGCUGGCGGCGUGCUUAACACAUGCAAGUCGAACGGAAAGGCCCUGCUUUUGUGGGGUGCUCGAGUGGCGAACGGGUGAGUAACACGUGAGUAACCUGCCCUUGGCUUUGGGAUAACUUCAGGAAACUGGGGCUAAUACCGGAUAGGAGCUCCUGCUGCAUGGUGGGGGUUGGAAAGUUUCGGCGGUUGGGGAUGGACUCGCGGCUUAUCAGCUUGUUGGUGGGGUAGUGGCUUACCAAGGCUUUGACGGGUAGCCGGCCUGAGAGGGUGACCGGCCACAUUGGGACUGAGAUACGGACCAGACUCCUACGGGAGGCAGCAGUGGGGAAUAUUGCACAAUGGGCGGAAGCCUGAUGCAGCAACGCCGGGUGCGGGAUGACGGCCUUCGGGUUGUAAACCGCUUUCGCCUGUGACGAAGCGUGAGUGACGGUAAUGGGUAAAGAAGCACCGGCUAACUACGUG